ACUCGUUUCCGCGUUUUGCGUACAAAGUGAUGUCAUACCUGGACUCUAUUAGAUGGACACUUUACUAUUCCAUGAGGCCACGGGAGAGGAUUUAGAAAUGUCAGUGAAGCGACGCAACUGACGCUGAUGGCACCCACCAGGUCGCAUACUUCCGGCACAGUUGCACCAGCCAAGCAACUGCCAUUGAGCUGAAUGGGAAUGUUAACAGAAAGCUUUCUCGAUUCCUCCUUGUUUGGACCUCAUGGGUAGCGGGGGCAUCGCACGCUAACCUCCAGCUCAGGCUAGUGCACCAUUAAGGCCCGAACGAUUGCUUGUUCUAUGUCUCUCUCUCUAUUUUCCAUCUCUUCCCCCUCUCUCCUACUCGCUCUCCCCCUCCCGUCGGCUGUCAGAGAGAUGUGUGUGGGCAGCAUUGUGAUAGGAAUAGAUGUUCCCCUAAGCGAGACCUGCAAAAGCCAUUUGAAAUCUGCUUGAUGGAGAACAGUAGGUUGAGAGUGCAUUGUUCUGCCGGCCUUUCUCAGCCUCUGUGGGUUGAUGUGUCAGCGGAUGAAGCGCUCCGGUCUUGACUGCAAAGGUCAAAAUCUAACAGGAGGAAAUGGCCUUCAUGUACAUGUGCACGGCUUUGUUCUAGCCUGCGCUAAAUUUAGCACCCAGAACUGGAUACUACAACGCUUAUCUUUACUAUAUCUGACAUGUAAAUUCACGAUGGUGCCACGUCACGGCUGUCCUUUGGCUCGCCGGUAACGGGCAUUUACAUACGGCGCGUCCCGCUUAUUUGCCUGCGGGCUGUUUUAUCUUCGCCGCGUGUCGUCACGGCGUGCCAUCUUUUUUAUUCCCUUUUUGAACAGACACUUUUAAUGCGAUGGCUUCCCUCCCAGGCCUGGCAUGCCUGCGGCUCCCUCCUAUAUCGCCACUGGCCAGAUUCCCAGCCUGUGUACUCUGGCAGAGUGGCCCUGAAGCGUCAGCCGCUUCCUUGCAAAAGUAGCAGCCAAAACCGUUAGUCACCAGCCCCGCUGUGACACAGUGAUGGCUGAAAGGGCCUAAGGCCAGGCCUGAAGAGGUGGCUGCUCGACUAUAUGUGUGCGGAUGAUUUCCGGAGGAGGGAGCUUGGCACGCCUAACACCUAUAUCAACAUUUUUCAGAAGCCGGGAUGUGAACAAUGAGGGGUUUUCAGCACCGGCUUCUCCUGUAAAGGCUGACGAGGUGACAAUGAGUCACUCUGCGGUGCACCGGACGACUCUAAAGCUUCCAACGCCCUAGUCGGACGUUAGACCUCGAGUUGACUUUGAAACCCAACCCGCAUCUGAUGCAGGCGCUUUGUAACUGCACUUCCGCUGUGAUGCAUUUUGACAAGGCAAAUCUGAGAAGAAAGAAAAACAAAAAUGCAGCGGGGCAACGUGCAACGCAGCAAAGUUGUGUCAACGAAGUCGAAGGAACAGCGUCGAAUGGAGGCGCAGGGCGGGUUUGUUAUGACACCAAACAAGGGGCCCUCUGGAAAAACAGAUAAAAGUGGAAACCAGAGACGAGGAAGCGCACAAACGAAGAAUAAAUAACAUCCAGCCAUUCAUCUCUCAACAUGGCCCUCAUCACUGUCAAUGGAGCGGCGCCUGUCUAUAGCGUUACAAGCUAAGGAAGUGGGGAUUGCGUGCUCAUCAGUUCUUGAGCUCAACCACUAGUGACCUUUAUCCUUCACAAACUUUCUGUAUGUAGAGAUUCAGGCUCUGUCAUCUCAAUCUUAACAGCAGGCCAUCCAGCGAUCUGUUCAGAUACAUCAAGGAUCAACGUGACACCCUGUAUUUAUCUUUAACUUUAAACGUUAUGAUGCUCGACUGCUCAUUCAUAUUCUCCGCUUCACCCAUGGAGCUGGAUUAGCAUCCAGAUGUCACAACGUGAUGGGACUCACCUACGUGAAACGGUCCAUGAAGACACAAGCUGAUAUGUCCUGUAUCUACUGAUCACUUUGUCUCAGUUGACAUUUCGGUCCCUUUGUCUGUGACUGCCUGCAAUGAAACGGAUGGGAAAUUUCUGGAUUUGGCAGGGAUGACAUUUGGAUGAAUGGAGCUGGCUUUCCAUCAGGUGACUCGGAAUAUUCAGUCAUUUCCCUGCACUGCACUUUUGGUGCUGUCCAUUGCAACUAAAACCCUUUAAAAUAACCCUUAAGUUCAAAAACAUAGUUGAUAUUGUUUUAUUACUUUACAUUUUAUUUUACAUUUGAU